rnacentral:rRNA from 1 species
AGUGAACGCUGGCGGUAGGCUUAACACAUGCAAGUCGAACGGCAGCACCGUAAGAGCUUGCUCUUACGGGUGGCGAGUGGCGGACGGGUGAGGAAUACAUCGGAAUCUACUUUUUCGUGGGGGCUAACGUAGGGAACCUUACGCUCAUACUGCAUACGACCUACGGGUUAAAGCAGGGGAUCUUCGUACCUUGUGCGAUUGAAUGAGCCGAUGUCGGAUUAGCUAGGUGGCGGGGUAAAGGCCCACCAAGGCGACGAUCCGUAGCUGGCCUGAGAGGAUGGGCAGCCACACUGGAAGUGAGACACGGUCCAGACUCCUACGGGAGGCAGCAGGGGGGAAUAUGGGACAAUGGGCGGAAGCCUGAUCCAGCCAGACAGCGUGGGUGAAGAAGGGCUUCGGGUGGUAAAGCCCUUUUGUUGGGAAAGAAAAGCAGCAGGUUAAGACCCCGCUGUUCUGACGGUACCCAGAGAAGAAGCACCGGCUAACUUCGUG